rnacentral:rRNA from 1 species
AGCAGUGAGGAAUAUUGGUCAAUGGGCGUAAGCCUGAACCAGCCAAGUCGCGUGAGGGAUGAAGGUUCUAUGGAUCGUAAACCUCUUUUAUAAGGGAAUAAAGUGUGGGACGUGUCCUAUUUUGUAUGUACCUUAUGAAUAAGGAUCGGCUAACUCCGUGCCAGCAGCCGCGGUAAUACGGAGGAUCCGAGCGUUAUCCGGAUUUAUUGGGUUUAAAGGGUGCGUAGGCGGCCUUUUAAGUCAGCGGUGAAAGUCUGUGGCUCAACCAUAGAAUUACCGUUGAAACUGGGGGGCUUGAGUAUGUUUGAGGCAGGCGGAAUGCGUGGUGUAGCGGUGAAAUGCUUAGAUAUCACGCAGAACCCCGAUUGCGAAGGCAGCCUGCCAAGCCAUGACUGACGCUGAUGCACGAAAGCGUGGGGAUCAAACAGGAUUAGAUACCCUGGUAGUC